GAGCGGAGCAUGAGGGUUAUGCGUUCGGCCUGGUUGUCGACCGCAGAGCACUCGGACUUGAAGGAGGUGGCGGCGGCAGCGGCGUGGCGGAGGCGGUCGGAGAGGAUGAUCGGGACGGAGAGGAGCUGGGCGAGUGGUGUGGGGUCAUCCGCCGCCAUUGAUUGUGUUUGUGUGUAUAGGUUUGGGAUUGUAUGUAUAGGUUGUGUUGUUUAAGGUAAGGGAAGUGUUGUAGAAGGGAAUGUAGGAUUUUGUGUUGAGAGAAGUGUGUUUUAUUGUCUUGAUGAGAUGGUCAGAUGGUGGGGUGUUUAUGGUGAGUCAGACUGUACAAGUACAAGUCUAGUCAUACUUGCUCAUUAGAGGGGCUGUCUGCUUCUGGCUUCUGCUUUUCUUGACCCGUUUGUGUAAAAAAGUAGAAGCACUUUUAAGAAGCUGAGAAUGCUAGCUUCUGUCUCACAGCUUCUGCUUCUUUUCCAAACACUUUAUUAACUUAUUUACUUCUCACUUCUAUUCCACUUUUUUACUUUAAGUAUAGAAUCACUUUUUUUAAACUUAGCCAAACGCCCCCUAAGAUUGACCACCUCACUUCGUUUACUCCGUCUGCUUCAAUUUUUACAAUGAGAUUAAUCAUAUUAAUAUAAGUUAUAUUUUUAAGUAAAUAUUUAAGUCAAUCUAUGUAUAAAGUCUUACUCCAAUAGAAACCUAACCUCUUUAUCCUGAAAACUAAAAAUCAAACUGAAAUAUCAUUAAAUUCUAAAGCAAAUACCACUAAAUUCUUAAACAACCUCAUCUCUAUCUUCAUCUUCACCAAACCCACCUACAUCUUCACCAACCCCAUCUCCACCACCACCACCUCCGUCGUCGCCUCCUUCAUAACCACUACCCCCUCUAUGCCGCCCGUCCCCUCCAUAACCACCACCUCCACCUCCAUUAUUUCUCUAACAACACAACCUCCACCUCCAUCUUCAUCAGUCCCAUCUUAAUCGUUGUUUCAACCUCCUUCAGCCCCGUUCAUACUUAUUUCUCCACCUCGACUCAACUUCAAAUGUGGAGCCGCCACUAUUCCGGCAACGCUCCAACCCCCUACUUCAAGCCGCCCAAACCUCCGCUACAAUCAUCUUUCUUUCAUCUCCACCUUCACCUCCACCAUUUCCACCACUAUCACCACCAUCUGAAUCGAAAACGUUAACAGAUCUGGAGAUUCUAAGCUGGAACAUAUCUGGAGAUUAAAUUUUCACUAAUUCAUGCAACACAGAUCACUAAACCUUAAAGAGAAUAUUACUAAAUUGUGCUGAAAAUAUCACUAACUUGUAUUGGUUUCUAGUUUUUAUUUUAAGAUUGGUUCCUAUUUGAUCAUGAGCCUAUAUAUAUAUAUAUAUAUACUGUAUAUAAUUCCAUGAGCGUCGGACAUGAGAUGAAAACUUUUAUAUAUGUGAUUUAAAUGUUGUGAAGUGUUUGUAUGAUAAUAUUACUCUAUGUAAAUUUAAAUACAUAAUAUUACUUGUGAACGAGCGCCAACGCCUUGGACAGAUUCUUAUCAACUUCGGCGACAAUACGACGCACCGGAGUGUCGUAUAACGAAGCGGUGGUCGUGGCGUAGCGAGCGGCGGAGCGGAGCAUGAGGGUUAUGCGUUCGGCCUGCUUGUCGACCUCCGAGCACUCGGACUUAAAGGAGUUGGCGGCGGCGGCGGCGUGGCGGAGGCGGUCGGAGAGGAUGAUCGGGACGGAGAGGAGCUGGGCUAGUGGUGUGGGGUCAUCCGCCGCCAUUGAUUGUGUUUGUGUGUAUAGGUUUGGGAUUGUAUGUAUAGGUUGUUUUGUUUAAGGUAAGGGAAGUGUAGAAGAAGGGAAUGUAAGAUUUUG
rnacentral:lncRNA from 1 species